AUUGAACGCUGGCGGCAGGCCUAACACAUGCAAGUCGAGCGGAUGAAGGGAGCUUGCUCCUGGAUUCAGCGGCGGACGGGUGAGUAAUGCCUAGGAAUCUGCCUGGUAGUGGGGGAUAACGUCCGGAAACGGGCGCUAAUACCGCAUACGUCCUGAGGGAGAAAGUGGGGGAUCUUCGGACCUCACGCUCGCAGGUGAGCCUAGGUCGGAUUAGCUAGUUGGUGGGGUAAAGGCCUACCAAGGCGACGAUCCGUAACUGGUCUGAGAGGAUGAUCAGUCACACGGGAACUGAGACACGGUCCAGACUCCUACGGGAGGCAGCAGUGGGGAAUAUUGGACAAUGGGCGAAAGCCUGAUCCAGUCAUGCCGCGUGUGUGAAGAAGGUCUUCGGAUUGUAAAGCACUUUAAGUUGGGAGGAAGGGCAGUAAGUUAAUACCUUGCUGUUUUGACGUUACCAACAGAAUAAGCACCGGCUAACUUCGUG
rnacentral:rRNA from 1 species